CUACAUAUAUGUGAUACCAAAAAAAAAAUCUAUAAUUUUCAAAUUUGAAAAUGCUGAAAAUUAAAAACAUAACAAUAUCAAUGCCUUUAAUGAUAACAUUCUCAUGGUCAAGCUUUUUUUUUCCCUUUCUUGGUUCUAGUCGUAACACCUUGUUGUGUUGAGAUUGGUGUGGAUGCCACAUUUACUUCCUCAUGUUUUUUAUCAAUCUUUUUCUUUCUUUGUGCCUGAAAAGAAAAAUGGUCAUGAUAUGUGAGAUUCAAAAUAGUAAUUACAAUAUUAUAGAAAUAAGCAAAAAUAAUCCUAAUUGUUAUCAUAAAUUGAUUUGUAGUAAUGCAUGAAUUAAACCUUAUGACUUUUCUCCCAAUAAUCAUUUCACCAAGUCUUUUAGGCUUUUUCAAUUAAAAAAAUAGUUUUUUAGUCAAUAUAUAAUAUUGAAAAAAUAAAAUAAAUAAAGUAAUCAUUUACUUACAUUAAGUAUAGAUAUUCCAAUCUCAGGGGUCUUGGUAUAAACCAAUCCCUUCUUGAUGUGGCCAUGCUUU
rnacentral:lncRNA from 1 species